AGUGAGCAGUCAGUCUUUUGUCAACCCUAAGUACCAAUUAUAAUUACGGAAGUCCAAAACGAGUGGUGACCAGCGUUUUUUUUUGUGUUGUAACAGGCGGCGUCCACUGGGGCAACGGGUUACGAGCGAGGCUCGAUAGCGAACAAGCUCGAGCUCACUGUUUAGUCCGCUUGCAACCGCGCUCGACGACGAGCGGCUGUCGUCUCGUAAAGUCCCCUUUUAAGCGAUUUUUCUUUGGGCCCUAAGCGUGAACUACGGAAAAGGGCCCAAACGCGAAUACGGGCCAAGAGCCAGGCGUCGGGGACCGCGGUUUUGCGUUUUCCCGCCAGGGCGAGAACGACGCGUCGGAAGCCGUCCGAAAAACAAAGGAAAAGCAGAAGGGCCGAUUGCGUAAGCGGAGUGGAAGGAGGAGCGCUACACCGGGAGGAAAGAAGACGAAUCCAGAGGAGACGGCGAAUAUAUUUUUUUUUUUUUUUGUUUAGUAUUAUAAAUAGUGAUAAGUUUUCGUGUGUAGGUUUCAAGAAAAAUAUUUAUUUGUGUGGUAGUGGCCAAAUGGAGUGAUACAUUUUUUUGUGCAGUGUAGACGGGCCCACGACUUAAAAUUUAUGUUGGCUCGUUAUUGUUAUGUGAUAUUUUCUUCCCCCUUGAAGUGACUUUUUUUUUAGCCCUCGUAGCCGCCAAUCCUCGGGAAAGCGCUUUCUUCGAUGGAAUGCCAAAUAAGUGCGGUGAGUGGAAAAAGAGAUCUAUUGAAAUAAUAACCUUAAAGAAAAGGAACUAAAGAGAAUUGAUAGAGAGGGAGAAGAUAGAAGCAUUGAUGACAUAGCCGCAUCAAGAAAAUCUUAUAAAGUCAAACUGUUGCUGCUAUUCUUGUCAUUUUAUUAAAGUCAACUUAACGUAAAAAAAUAAUGACCGUAGACCGUGUGAAGAACUAAGUGAUAAAUUUCAAUAACGCAGUCGAUCGAGAGUCCAACGGAGUUCGGUUGGAUGUUCGAUCGGGCUUUUGUAUGUUCGAGUGCGCGUUUAUAUGUUUGUUUUGCAUGUUCGAUCGGUCGUUUAUAUGUUUGACUGCCCGUUUACAAGUUUAAUGUCCGAAAGAGGAGUGUUCGAUUUUUGUCCGCUGACCCAAAUAAGGAGUUUUUUGAGGAUUUGUUUUUAAGACUUGAUCUUUUUGUUAGACAAUAAUUUUUCUUAUUUGUUUAUGUUUUUAUAUGUAAUUUAAGUAUUUAUGUUCCUCGAUGUAUUUAUAGUCUUUAGCAUGUCUCUCAAUUUAAUGUCAGGUUUUGAAGUCUUACUGUUUAGUUGUUAAAUAAAUUUUAUAAUGUUUUAAAA